UACGGAGGGUCCAAGCGUUAUCCGGAAUCAUUGGGUUUAAAGGGUCCGUAGGCGGGCUAUUAAGUCAGAGGUGAAAGUUUGCAGCUCAACUGUAAAUUGCCUUUGAUACUGGUAGUCUUGAGUUAUAGUGAAGUGGUUAGAAUAUGUGGUGUAGCGGUGAAAUGCAUAGAUAUCACAUAGAAUACCAAUUGCGAAGGCAGAUUACUAACUAUAUACUGACGCUGAUGGACGAAAGCGUGGGGAGCGAACGGG
rnacentral:rRNA from 1 species